GAGCCACUCUGGACCCGCUCGCCUGUGCCUGUGCCAGAUUCUGAGAGAGAAGAGCCAGGAGCCCAGGUGGUGGAUAAUUUUGGCUUUUUCAGAAGCCUAACGUAGGAGGAACAUGAUUCACACAGAGCUCAACGUGCGGCAAAUAUUUAAGCCUCCAGAAAAUAUCAGUGCUGCUGACCCCUUGACAUUAGCCUGUUGAGAUCCACGUGAGACUUCUGACCUCCAGAACUGGUGAUUUUACUGUGGUGACAUUUGGCUGAAAUGAGACCAUUGGGAUCCAAACAUACUCCCAAAUGGAAGAAGACUCCCUGGUCUCAUUCCACCUCCAGAAACAGAAGAGUUCUACACACUCUGCAGAAGGCUCCUCCCGAGAGGCUCAUAAUCAGCA